AAGAAAGCUAUCUAAAAUUAGGGAUGGCAAACAAUACUGAGAUUGUUCCACUAGAUCAUCGAAUUGCACUAUCUGAUCAAAAUCCUCUAAGAGAAGCUAAGAAAGAUGAGAUAGAAGAAGUGAGGAAAGUGGCCCAUUUAAUCGAGAAAAAGGAAACAAGUGGUCAAGAUCAAUUGGCAUUACAAACUAAAAAAUCUGCAAAUCAAAUCUUUGAGGAAAAGGUCAAGGACAUGGACAAUUCGUCUAUCAAAUCCACUACCAUAUUCAAAGUAAAUGUUUGCUUACGUGAAUCAAAUUCAAAGGCUUAUACUCCAAAGACUAUCUCUAUUGGUCCUUACCAUAACAAAAGACCACAACUUGGCUCAAUGGAAAAAUACAAAUGGCUGUACCUACAACGGUUUCUCAAACGAAAAACAGAGAUUGAUGUGAAAAGUUACAUUAAUGAAAUGGAGAAACUAAAAGAUAAAGCACUAAAGUGUUACGAUGAUAACCUUGACAGUGACAUUGUUGUCAAAUUUUCACAAAUGUUGUUGCUUGAUGGUUGUUUUGUGGUUGAGUUUAUUCGAGAGCGUUGUGUUGUUGAGCCAGAAGAAUCCAACCAAAUUAUCAACUUGGAAUGGAUGAUAAAUCAAGUAUGUCUAGACAUGGUGUUACUAGAAAACCAACUGCCUUUCUUUGUUCUCACCAUGCUACAUGACAUGACAAAGAAUCCUACAGAACGAAGCUUCUUGAAUAUGGUGAGAACGACAUUACUUGAUAUUUUCCCAAAAGUGACAUUUAUGCCACCAUCAGAAAUCGACGAUUUGAAUGCAGAAAACAUCGACCACUUACUAGAUGCAGUACACAUGUUUUGUCGCCCAUCACAUGAUCAGAAAACUAGAGAAACCAAGAAUGCUAGCAGCAGGGGAAAGGAAUGUUGCAAAAUAAGUUUCUGUGGGAACAUUUUGCAAUUAACCAGGUCAAAAGAAAUACCCGAUGUCCUUGAUUUAUGGGAUUGCUAUCAUAUUCCAAGUGCAACGGAGCUUUAUAAUGCUGGAGUUAGCUUCUCAAAAAUAGGAAGCGUGGCGGAAGAUGUGAACGAUAAAACAACUUUAUUCGAUAUCAACUUCGAAAAGGGGUUAAUGAAAAUCCCAUGUUUCACAAUCGAGGAUACUAUGGAAACCUUCAUGCGAAAUUUAAUAGCUUAUGAGCAACAUUCUUCUGGUGCAUAUCCUUAUUUUUCGAAUUAUGCUCAUAUAAUGACUCAACUUAUUGGCUCACAUAGAGAUGUGAAUCUCCUUCGCCAAAAUAAAAUCAUCCUUAAAGAUCUAGGAGAUGACAAAGAAGUGGCCAGCAUCUUCAAGAAACUUUCAAGUGGAGUGAUAGUCACUGACUUCUAUUACAGAGAAGAAUGCAGCAAAUUGAUCCAACAUUGUGAAAAGCCAUGGAGUCAAAUGAUGGCAAGUUUGAGGCACAAUUAUUUUCAGAGUCCUUGGGCUGGAGCUUCAACUGUGGCAGCCAUCACACUUCUCAUACUCACAGUUAUACAGACAAUUCUAGCUUUCAAAGAAAACCAAAAGAAAAGAAAACAAGACUUUUGAUUGUGUUGGUAGCGGCAUUCCUUUGAUUAUAUAUAAUCUCUCAUCCAAUUCAGACAAGCAAGAGAAACAAGGAAAGAAGAAUCAGCCAAAUUAAAGUGGACUUAUUGAUGUAUUUGGUUGAGGUCCCGAGGGCCUCGGGUGAGUUCCAGAUUGUUAACGGAUUGAAUUUGAAUUUGGAGGAGGAGCUGAGGCAGCUGGGCAUCUGGUGAGAUCGCACCUGAGCGAAAAAGGGCCCGAACUCGCGGAAGCAAGGCAUGAGUCGUAGAAGCGAAAAUGCAUGGGCUGGCCAGGCACCGCGGGUGCGAGAGUUUUGCCGCGGGUGCGAUUACACUAUAUAAUAUUUAUUCGUCGUUUGGCCAAAUACUUUCAUUCUCUAAAGUAAGUACUUUUUUAAAUUUAAAAAAAAAUUAUUGUUGGCCUUUCAAAAAAUUUGACUAAACAAUCUAUGUGUCAUGUCAUUCAACUUGAAGUAGCAAAGAAUAUAUUUUAUUUAUAUGUUUGGCAUAGAACGAGAAAAUUGCAAGAAAAUAAGACUUUUUUGGUUUGGUUGUUUCUUCUUUAGUUGGUUCUCUUGCUUCUCCUAAAUGAUAAGAGCUGGCUUGCAAAUUUAUUAGAGAAACUAAAUCAAAUAUUCAUAUUAUAUAAUACAGAUAAUUGAAAAUAUCUGAUAUGCGACCUUGUUUUGGCCUUUCAACACAAAAUAUUGUUGGCCUAUAAUGAGAGAAGAUAAUGGUUGACUCAAGUCAAUGGUUAUAUAUUUUCCUCGUUUUCUUUGUUUUGCUGUUUUAUUAGGUAGGAGUAUUUAAUAUCCACAUUGGAACGACAAAAUCUGAAUUCGCAAAAAAGUCAUCGAAAGUACAGCGCUCCCUAAUCCAUUCCUAGUAUCAUGUCACUUAUAAUAUAACUACAUAUUACUAUCGGAUAUUAUUAUUUUUAGUCCGCAUCAGAAACUAUUUAUAUUUGGU